rnacentral:rRNA from 1 species
AAUGGGGGAAACCCUGAUCCAGCCAUUCCGCGUGAGUGAAGAAGGCCUUCGGGUUGUAAAGCUCUUUCGGACGGAAAGAAAUCGCCCGGGUAAAUAAUCCGGGUGGACGACGGUACCGUAAGAAUAAGCACCGGCUAACUACGUGCCAGCAGCCGCGGUAAUACGUAGGGUGCAAGCGUUAAUCGGAAUUACUGGGCGUAAAGCGUGCGCAGGCGGUUUUGUAAGACCGCGGUGAAAUCCCCGGGCGCAACCUGGGAACUGCCUUUGUGACUGCAAGGCUGGAGUGCGGCAGAGGGGGAUGGAAUUCCGCGUGUAGCAGUGAAAUGCGUAGAUAUGCGGAGGAACACCGAUGGCGAAGGCAAUCCCCUGGGCCUGCACUGACGCUCAUGCACGAAAGCGUGGGGAGCAAA